rnacentral:tRNA from 1 species
GCGGGUGUAACUCAAUGGUAGAGUGUCAGCUUCCCAAGCUGAAAGUUGCGGGUUCGAGCCCCGUCACCCGCUCCA